rnacentral:rRNA from 4 species
UACGAAGGGGGCUAGCGUUGUUCGGAAUUACUGGGCGUAAAGCGCGUGUAGGCGGGUCUUUAAGUCAGGGGUGAAAUGCCAAGGCUCAACCUUGGAACUGCCUUUGAUACUGGAGAUCUUGAGUCCGGGAGAGGUGAGUGGAAUUGCGAGUGUAGAGGUGAAAUUCGUAGAUAUUCGCAAGAACACCAGUGGCGAAGGCGGCUCACUGGCCCGGAACUGACGCUGAGACGCGAAAGCGUGGGGAGCAAACAGG